rnacentral:rRNA from 1 species
GACGUAGGGCGCGAGCGUUGUCCGGAUUUAUUGGGCGUAAAGAGCUCGUAGGCGGCUUGUCGCGUCGACUGUGAAAACCCGCGGCUCAACCGCGGCCCUGCAGCCGAUACGGGCAGGCUAGAGUUCGGUAGGGGAGACUGGAAUUCCUGGUGUAGCGGUGAAAUGCGCAGAUAUCAGGAGGAACACCGAUGGCGAAGGCAGGUCUCUGGGCCGAUACUGACGCUGAGGAGCGAAAGCGUGGGGAGCGAACGGG